rnacentral:rRNA from 1 species
GAUGAACGCUGGCGGCGUGCCUAAUACAUGCAAGUCGAGCGAACAGACGAGGAGCUUGCUCCUUUGACGUUAGCGGCGGACGGGUGAGUAACACGUGGGUAACCUACCUAUAAGACUGGGAUAACUUCGGGAAACCGGAGCUAAUACCGGAUAAUAUUUCGAACCGCAUGGUUCGAUAGUGAAAGAUGGCUCUGCCAUCACUUAUAGAUGGACCUGCGCCGUAUUAGCUAGUUGGUAAGGUAACGGCUUACCAAGGCAACGAUACGUAGCCGACCUGAGAGGGUGAUCGGCUACACUGGAACUGAGACACGGUCCAGACUCCUACGGGAGGCAGCAGUAGGGAAUCUUCCGCAAUGGGCGAAAGCCUGACGGAGCAACGCCGCGUGAGUGAUGAAGGUCUUCGGAUCGUAAAACUCUGUUAUUAGGGAAGAACAAACGUGUAAGUAACUGUGCACGUCUUGACGGUACCUAAUCAGAAAGCCACGGCUAACUACGUG